CCGUAACUAUAACGGUCCUAAGGUAGCGAAAUUCCUUGUCGGGUAAGUUCCGACCUGCACGAAUGGCGUAAUGAUGGCCAGGCUGUCUCCACCCGAGACUCAGUGAAAUUGAACUCGCUGUGAAGAUGCAGUGUACCCGCGGCAAGACGGAAAGACCCCGUGAACCUUUACUAUAGCUUGACACUGAACAUUGAGCCUUGAUGUGUAGGAUAGGUGGGAGGCUUUGAAGUGUGGACGCCAGUCUGCAUGGAGCCGACCUUGAAAUACCACCCUUUAAUGUUUGAUGUUCUAACGUUGGCCCGUAAUCCGGGUUGCGGACAGUGUCUGGUGGGUAGUUUGACUGGGGCGGUCUCCUCCUAAAGAGUAACGGAGGAGCACGAAGGUUGGCUAAUCCUGGUCGGACAUCAGGAGGUUAGUGCAAUGGCAUAAGCCAGCUUGACUGCGAGCGUGACGGCGCGAGCAGGUGCGAAAGCAGGUCAUAGUGAUCCGGUGGUUCUGAAUGGAAGGGCCAUCGCUCAACGGAUAAAAGGUACUCCGGGGAUAACAGGCUGAUACCGCCCAAGAGUUCAUAUCGACGGCGGUGUUUGGCACCUCGAUGUCGGCUCAUCACAUCCUGGGGCUGAAGUAGGUCCCAAGGGUAUGGCUGUUCGCCAUUUAAAGUGGUACGCGAGCUGGGUUUAGAACGUCGUGAGACAGUUCGGUCCCUAUCUGCCGUGGGCGCUGGAGAACUGAGGGGGGCUGCUCCUAGUACGAGAGGACCGGAGUGGACGCAUCACUGGUGUUCGGGUUGUCAUGCCAAUGGCACUGCCCGGUAGCUAAAUGCGGAAGAGAUAAGUGCUGAAAGCAUCUAAGCACGAAACUUGCCCCGAGAUGAGUUCUCCCUGACUCCUUGAGGGUCCUGAAGGAACGUUGAAGACGACGACGUUGAUAGGCCGGGUGUGUAAGCGCAGCGAUGCGUUGAGCUAACCGGUACUAAUGAACCGUGAGGCUUAACCUU
rnacentral:rRNA from 1 species